rnacentral:rRNA from 1 species
GACGAACGCUGGCGGCGUGCCUAAUACAUGCAAGUCGAACGAGAGCAACCGGUGCUUGCACUGGUCAAUCUAGUGGCGAACGGGUGAGUAACACGUGGGUAACCUGCCCAUCAGAGGGGGAUAACAUCCGGAAACGGAUGCUAAAACCGCAUAGGUCUUCGAACCGCAUGGUUUGAAGAGGAAAAGAGGCGCAAGCUUCUGCUGAUGGAUGGACCCGCGGUGCAUUAGCUAGUUGGUGAGGUAACGGCUCACCAAGGCCGUGAUGCAUAGCCGACCUGAGAGGGUGAUCGGCCACAUUGGGACUGAGACACGGCCCAAGCUCCUACGGGAGGCAGCAGUAGGGAAUCUUCCGCAAUGGACGCAAGUCUGACGGAGCAACGCCGCGUGAGUGAAGAAGGUUUUCGGAUCGUAAAACUCUGUUGUUAGGGAAGAACAAGUGCUAGAGUAACUGUUAGCGCCUGGACGGGAUCUAACCAGAAAGGCACUGCUAACUACGUG